rnacentral:ribozyme from 1 species
ACCUUCAACAUGAUGAUGAAGAUUUAACAUUAAGACACAAGAAGCUACCAAGCGCACAUCACAACACGCGCGUGUGGGUGUGUGUGUGGGUGUGUUAUUUCAUUCGAUUCGAUUUCUACUUGAAGUUGUUGACGGUGAAGUCCC